UCUGCCCCUAGAGACAUUGCAGAUGUGGCUGCCAUGUCACAUUUGUGUCAUUAGGUGGCAGAGAGAAGAGAGACUUGUCUACGCUCGGCGUUCUGGCCUGUGGACGUCUGGAUGAUUGAUAGUCUGACUUG
ensembl:snoRNA small nucleolar RNA SNORA17